CCUUAUGUAAGAAAGAAAGGAGGGUCGGGAGGGGGAGGGUACUGAGUUUUGGGGGACGGCUUUUAUAUUUUUUACUAUGCACGGAGGAAGGAAUUGAAAGGGAAGACCAAUCACUGUUCUGAACAGAGGAAAAAAGAACUUGGAGGGCACGGAGGAAUCGAGGGCCUACUGACUUCCAAAGAAUUCAAGUUCAGAGCCCUAUUUUCAUAUAGAUCUGUCAUUUAUCUUUUGAUGGGGGAACAUGGGGUAAAGGACGCCCACAUUUCAGGUAUCUUCUCUUGGUUUUUGCAUCUGUUUUUUUUCAACCUCAUUUCUACGCAUUGCUCAGAAGAGUAUCUUUUGAAUUUAUUCUAUAGAUGUUUUUAUGAAUUUAUGAUGGAUGUCUUUAUGCUGGACCAACUUGUCCAGAGUAGAUUUGUAUCCCCUCUAUAUCUCCUCUGUAUACAGAACAUUUCUUCUCAAUCUCUUUUCUACAUAGCUCAGAACGAUAGCUUUUGAAGUUAUCCCAUAGGUGUUAUUGUGAAUUCAAGCUGGAUUAAGUUGUUCAUAGUAGAUUUGUAUCCUCUGUACACGCAGAAGACCGAAUAAUGUUUCUGCAGAAGAAGAAAAACUAAAAAAGACUAGACUAGACAAAGAAAUUUAUAGUGGUUCAUCGUAAUAGGCUACAUCCACUUUAUAAGUAGGGGAAUGAUUUUAUUAAACACUGUUCUGUACAUCAAUCACAGCAGCAAAAGAAAUCUUUACGUUUAUGUAGACAAUACAAAAUGAGAAUACAGACAGCUAAGAGUCUUGAAGGGAAAACCAGUAUGACCAUUGGACUUCGCAAUACCAACAUCCUCUAUUUAUCCCGUGUGUAUAAUGACACAAAACUUUCUGAUUGUUAAUAUCCAUCUUGUGCCUCCCCUUUUUGAAAUUGGAAAUGAAUAACCAAUGGCCUUUUUCUAUGGUGUUAUCAGAUUUCAUAGAAUCCCUUUUCCUUUCCAAAUAUGUCUAUGAGUUUUAGUGUAAAUUUUUCUUCUUCUGGUUUUUGCAACCCAAAUUGUGAUGUAAAAUUUUCAAUUAACAAUGAUAUGAAGUGUUUAAUAUCUGUUCCUUGUAUAUCAGUUAGUCAACAAGAUUCAAUAAUUUUGACAACAUAUAAAAGUAGACUUAUCUUAUGCUCAUAAAUGUUAGUUUCUUAAAGAAAGAUGAUUGGAUAGAGAUCCCUGAUGAGGGGAAUAAAACAUGUUAACAGUCUCAUAAAUGACUUAAUUACUUCAGUAACAUGUCAAAUGUGCUCAUAAAUUUCAUUAUCUGUUCAAAUUCAUGCAUGACUAAUUUAUCUUCUUUUGCUUCGAAAUGGACUUGUUUCACAAAGCUCAAUGGUCUAUUAGAAUGGGUGGAAUUGGAAAGAUGGGUAAGCAAUUUUUAAGAAUCAAAUUAUCUCUGUUCAAUGAUUUUCAUUGCCACGCCUUCAAUAACACGAGGACCUCCACUGUUUGGCUCAAAGGUAAAGAAGGCAGCACGGUGGAGGCGGGGGCCGUCUGUCACCAAGAUACCAGUGCAUGGGAUCCUCAACACCUCGUGUUUCAGAUGUUGAAUGUGAAGCCUGGUGCGGCUUCCAUAUGCCAUAUUUCGUGGCAAGGAGACCUUGUGUGGCUCACAGCCAAAUGAGCCACACCCGCCCACUGCAUUUGCUUGAACGUUCAAGCGAAUCCGUUUUGCAUAUAUCGGCCUGCACUGCUUUGGUUUACAGGACUGCUAUGGUUUAAUAUUGUAUUGUGAAAAAUUUAUUAUUAUUUUUUAAACUACAUUUAAACUUAAUUGUACUAUAAAAUUAAAAUAAAACUAAUUAUAUAUACUUAUUUUUUAAUGAAUCCAUGAAAAAGUAUCAAAAGAAAACAAAAAUAGAACAAAGACGAUGUGAAUGAAUGUACAUAAAACAUCCAUUACCAUCUUGUGAAAGACAGUGAGUCCCACCCACAACAUGUUGCAGUGAUUCAGACAUGUACAAGUAAAAGAGGACUUCAUACAUUGAACUUUCCUCAACUCGUGACAUAUGUAAUAGUGGGAUGCUAUAAAUAGAGGAUAUCUUGCAGAUUUAAGGAAACAUUCUAAAGUAUCAA